rnacentral:rRNA from 1 species
AAGCUGGUUAUCUUGUACUGAAUACAUAGGUGCAAGAGGCGAACCAGGGGAACUGAAACAUCUAAGUACCCUGAGGAAAAGAAAUCAACCGAGAUUCCCUUAGUAGUGGCGAGCGAACGGGGACCAGCCCUUAAGUUGAUUUGAGAUUAGUGGAACGCUCUGGAAAGUGCGGCCAUAGUGGGUGAUAGCCCCGUACACGAAAAUCUCUUAUCAAUGAAAUCGAGUAGGACGGAGCACGAGAAACUUUGUCUGAAUAUGGGGGGACCAUCCUCCAAGGCUAAAUACUACUGACUGACCGAUAGUGAACCAGUACCGUGAGGGAAAGGCGAAAAGAACCCCGGAGAGGGGAGUGAAAUAGAACCUGAAACCGUAUGCGUACAAGCAGUGGGAGCCUACUUUGUUAGGUGACUGCGUACCUUUUGUAUAAUGGGUCAGCGACUUAUAUUCAGUGGCGAGCUUAACCGAAUAGGGGAGGCGUAGCGAAAGCGAGUCUUAAUAGGGCGUUUAGUCGCUGGGUAUAGACCCGAAACCGGGCGAUCUAUCCAUGGGCAGGUUGAAGGUUAGGUAACACUGACUGGAGGACCGAACCGACUACCGUUGAAAAGUUAGCGGAUGACCUGUGGAUCGGAGUGAAAGGCUAAUCAAGCUCGGAGAUAGCUGGUUCUCCUCGAAAGCUAUUUAGGUAGCGCCUCAUGUAUCACUGUAGGGGGUAGAGCACUGUUUCGGCUAGGGGGUCAUCCCGACUUACCAAACCGAUGCAAACUCCGAAUACCUACAAGUGCCGAGCAUGGGAGACACACGGCGGGUGCUAACGUCCGUCGUGAAAAGGGAAACAACCCAGACCGUCAGCUAAGGUCCCAAAGUCAUGGUUAAGUGGGAAACGAUGUGGGAAGGCUUAGACAGCUAGGAGGUUGGCUUAGAAGCAGCCACCCUUUAAAGAAAGCGUAAUAGCUCACUAGUCGAGUCGGCCUGCGCGGAAGAUGUAACGGGGCUCAAACCAUGCACCGAAGCUACGGGUAUCA